UGGGGAAUAUUGCACAAUGGGGGAAACCCUGAUGCAGCAACGCCGCGUGCGGGAUGACGGCCUUCGGGUUGUAAACCGCUUUCAGCCAUGACGAAGCUUUUGUGACGGUAGUGGCAGAAGAAGCACCGGCUAACUACGUGCCAGCAGCCGCGGUGAUACGUAGGGUGCGAGCGUUGUCCGGAAUUAGUGGGCGUAAAGAGCUUGUAGGCGGUUUGUCGCGUCGAAAGUGUAAACUCAGUGCUUAACGCUGAGCCUGCUUUCGAUACGGGCUGACUAGAGGAAGGUAGGGGAGAAUGGAAUUCCCGGUGGAGCGGUGGAAUGCGCAGAUAUCGGGAGGAACACCAGUGGCGAAGGCGGUUCUCUGGACCUUUCCUGACGCUGAGAAGCGAAAGCGUGGGUAGCAAACAGG
rnacentral:rRNA from 1 species